AGGGGAAAUGAGGACUCAGGAAUCCACAGGCACUGUUUCACUUUCAAGCUCUAUUCUUACUCUUACAAAAGUUUUACAGCUCACCAGUAUCUGCCUGCACCCAUCAGCUCACCCACCCACAGUUUUCAGCCUUGCGUGACUCCUCUUGUGAAACUCCGCCACGAGCACAAGGAAACAGAAACACAGGCAUCCCCUCCUGCAGUAGUUUUCCACUCGCCGUAUUACUCCCAAUAAAGUUGAGGAAGUUUGCAAUUAUUAACAUCAGCCUGAGAAUGAAGCUGGACUCCCAAAAAUAAUUUAAAGCCAUGGUUGGACACCUCUAACACACGCUCUGGCUGCCCAACAGCAGAGGAUGGACACCCAAACAAAGCGACCCAAUUUUAUCUGCAGGACAUCUUGAGGACACUGAGAAGCUUCAGACUUCUGACAUGGAGGAAAUCAUAGUGGAGACAGUCCUUGCCCCAUGGGAGAUACUGCUGGUCAUUUUUGCUGCAGUGCUGAUAAUGAGUUUUCUCAUGUUGCUGCCUCCCGCUGCGGUGGUGAUCUGGAAAAUGAAGCAUGUUCCGCAGAUCUCGCUGCAUGGCUCGGUGUGAGCCAGCCCUGGUCUGAGCUGUAGCACCACAGGUCCCUUGGACGGAUGGUUCAGAAUGAUAACACCCCUUGGGAUCAUACUUGUUGCCCAGGAUCCAUGCAAAACUGAUACGUUUCCCAGCCUAUUGUAGCUAACUUCCCAUGAAGAGAGAAUAGGGGUAAUUUUGCCUUCAUGUGCUACAGUUCUCAACACUUUGCCUUCCAUUUUUUGCCUACGUUAUAAUUACUGUUCUUGGCUUAGUUCCUAGACUGACUACUUCUCUUGCAUUAUGAUGAAGACUGAAAGAGAAGCAAGCAUAAUACAGCAUUGUAUUCCCUUACCUAAUAUCAAGGAAACCUGCCUUUCUGUAGUUACACUGUAAAUAUUACCGAAGCCUUUAGCUAAGAUGACUGAGAGUUAUGCAGGUGGACAUGUCAAAAGCAUGCAGUACACUUUGGGGAGGCAGUGGCUUAGUCUGGCUGAACUGUGAAACCUAAACCAAACCAACAGAGAAUGGUGAAAUAAAUAAGCAUCUUAUGUUUCUUUGGUCUGAUCUGAAAACUUACUGGUCUAAUGUGUUUUUUUGUUUCUUUCAUUCUAUAUGCCCUCUCCUUCCUUCACAAAUCCUGAGUGCCAGAACACAAAGCCCUCCCCAUCCCAGGGCUGGAGCAGGAGCAUGAGGGUGGCCUGAUACUCAGACAUGCCCGGCCAGACACCGACUCAAAGUUUAAUGCAAACAUACAGCAACUAUUUGCCUGAAUUACAUUAUGCAAACUUACUCUGGGAAAUAGUGUGAUUAAAAUUAGUUUUUAACUGUGUUGUAAAGGCAUCCUGGUUCAACUUCCCUUUCUCAUAUAUAAAUAAUAACUUUGAUGGUGGCAAUAGAACAAAAUUGCUGCCCUACAAGUUUAUGGGGAAAAAAAAAAAAGACAAAAACCAAACCAACCAACCAACAAACACACCUCCCAAAAAACAAAACAAAACAAACCACCACACACACACACACACACAACUCGCAUACCACUCAGUCUCCAUCUUGAUAUCAAAUUAAUGCCACAUCAAAUUAAAGUUUUCCAGCCUAAUUCUUCCACAUGAUGGGAUGCUCAUUAGCAGGAUUUCUAUUUCACAGAUGUAAUAGUUUCUGUUAGUUUACAAGAGCAACAGGUUUGAUUUCCUCAUGAAAUCCAAUACUGAGUUUCUCUUCUUUUGUUGGUUGGUUUGGAAAGUCACAAGAAUAGCUCAACAGAACUCAGAGAAAAAUGUUUUUUAGCACCACUAGAAAAAUUAUAUGGGAAAGUGCUCAGUGCCUCACCUAUUUUAAAUAAAAUCAACAUCAGUUGAUAAUGGAUUGGCUGGAAGUAAAAGUCUCAAAGACAUCUAACAGUUGAACUUGAUGAUCUUAAGAAUCUUUUCCAACCUAAAUGAUUCUGUGAUUCUGUAAUUUCAUCGCAUACAGAUUGUUUGCCAGAAGCAAAUAAACCAAUCCACCAGUGACUGAAAAAAAGUCUUUUUCUUUAAGACUACAGAAUUUUUGUCUCCAACACAAUGACUUAAGUUACUGCCUCAUAGUUUAUAAGCAGCCAAAGCAGCCAACUCAUCCCUUUGUUGGUGUAAUUGUCUGCUACACUCAUACUCAUAUGACUCUCUGGUUCUGGGCCCAAACGCAACUGAUGAUUUUUUUGCUUGUAAUGACUGGAUUCUGAGUCUGAAAGAUAGUGUGCAAUUUUAUAUAUCUGAAUCAUUUAACUGAUUAAUUAGGUAAAGGUCAAUUAACCACCAUGUACCGCAUAACUAUGCUGUCUGUAUCUGAGAGAUUUGCAGGAACAGGCAGAAGGUAAAGAAGAGAAAGUAAACACAGACCGAUGAGCUGCCCGUCUUCAGAUCUACAGCUUCACUAUUUGCUCAACAAACAAGAAAAUUAAAACAAAACCCCAAUCACAGGUUUAACUGAAAACCAAGCAAGCAGUAACUAAGAUUUUUGUUUAGAUUUCUGUAGCUACAGCUCUACAAAUAAACUGGAUUUCCAGUGCUA